rnacentral:rRNA from 1 species
CAGCCGCCGCGGUAAUACGUAGGUGGCAAGCGUUGUCCGGAAUUAUUGGGCGUAAAGGGCUCGCAGGCGGUUUCUUAAGUCUGAUGUGAAAGCCCCCGGCUCAACCGGGGAGGGUCAUUGGAAACUGGGAAACUUGAGUGCAGAAGAGGAGAGUGGAAUUCCACGUGUAGCGGUGAAAUGCGUAGAGAUGUGGAGGAACACCAGUGGCGAAGGCGACUCUCUGGUCUGUAACUGACGCUGAGGAGCGAAAGCGUGGGGAGCGAACAGGAUUAGAUACCCGCGUAGUCCCUGUCUCUUAUAC